AACAAAAAUCGAUUUCAUCGCUUUUUUUAAGUGAUGUUUAUCGGAUUUGAGCCGUCUUUUUUUUAUAUAUUAUAUAUAUAUUUAAAAGUGACUUAAAAUUGAUUUUUCUGGUAUGAUCGAAGCGUAUUUUAUGAUCAAUUUUUGGUUAAAGAAACGCACGCGUUACCAUCAUUCAUAUGAUGUAAUACGUUUGACUAUCGGAUUUAGUUUAUUCGUAUACGAUAUUUUUCAAA
rnacentral:misc_RNA from 1 species